rnacentral:rRNA from 1 species
CGACCGGCGCACGGGUGCGUAACGCGUAUGCAACCUACCUUUAACAGGGGGAUAACACUGAGAAAUUGGUACUAAUACCCCAUAAUAUCAUAGAAGGCAUCUUUUAUGGUUGAAAAUUCCGAUGGUUAGAGAUGGGCAUGCGUUGUAUUAGCUAGUUGGUGGGGUAACGGCCCACCAAGGCGACGAUCGGUAGCCGGACUGGGAGGUUGAACGGCCACAUUGGGACUGAGACACGGCCCAG